AAUAACCCUUGGCACGCAUCUAGGAUUCAAUUUAUUGAAAGCAUUAGAAAUGAACAAGACCCAAUUCUAACUAAUAAAUCACAAACAUAGUUUAUUCAAAUUAGAUUAUUCACCUCCUUAAUAUAACUUAAAAAUCUAGUUCUUGUCAAGUUAUAUCAUUUGCUACAAAUGUUAACUUCAAGCAAUCAAUUACGGGUUUGAUCUAAUCAACUAGCUUUUUAUUUUUCUAAUUAACCAGCUUUUUAUUUUUCUAAUUAACCGAAUAACUGGCUAUGUUAUCUAGUUAAACAGUAUAAUAAACAUCCACCAACAGAAACCAAUGAGUAAAGGAAGUAAAUCAAUAUUGAAGAAUUAAAAUGAACAAGAAAAAGAAUAACAAGAUCUCACAACACUAUUGUAGAACUAAGCACUUGGAUGAAAUCUUAAACUGGAAUCAAAAAUGAGUUUUUUAUCUGUUCAUGGCUGCUUUUUUUUAGUUUUUUUACAGAAAUUCCAGGAAAAUAAAACAAAUACUGAAUCAAACUAAAAAAAGACUACAACUCCCAAAAACUACUCUCCGCUUUCAGGAACUCUAUAUUGCUUUUAACCUCCCUUUCAAAUGAGCCAAAAGCGACCCAAUAAUACAGCAAACCUUCCUUAACUGUCAAAUUAUAAAAAGGAAAUAAAUCUCAUAAAAAAAUCAGAUUACCUUGCAAAGUGAACAUAAUUUCCAACAAAUAUAUGACAAUAUAAUGACUUAACAAAUUCUUCCACACUUAUCACUUGCUUGUCCUGAAGCAUUAGCUCAACACUCAAUUCAUUAAUCAGUUCAAAAGGAAAAUCACCCAACUUUUCACAACCUUUAAAACUAUUCUUGGAAAAACAAACUUUAAUACAAAGCAAAGAUAACACAAUUAGCAUAUCUGAAAUCCACAAACAAUAAAAGAGUUGAAUUUAAAUUCUUUUAAACAAAAAGAACAAGGCUUGAGCAUUCUCAUAAAAUACAUGCAAUCAAAGUUUCAUAUGAAUUAAGCCACUGCUUGAAGAAUAAUUUAUCAACUUGCCAAGUCACAAAGCCUUACACAAAAGCAUACAAUAAACAAGAAUAGAGGUGCUAGAAUUUUAUUAUUUUUAGAGCACUUUUUGGCUUGCUUGAAAGUCAAUAGCCUUUUGGGGCGAGGGCCAAUAUUUGUGAUACCCACACCCUGCUACUUGGAUUCACAAACUCAGUGGCUACUAGCUCUACUCUUAUCCAUUACCAGACAGUGGAGUAAAAAUGUAAUUGGCUUGUGCUCUUUAUUCAGAUAAGAAUAGACUGAUUCCUUUUUUUUAGCAACCUCAAAUUUAGCAGUCAAACACAUAAUGCCCUUUUUUUUUUUUUUUU
rnacentral:lncRNA from 1 species